UAAUACGGAGGGUGCGAGCGUUGUCCGGAAUCACUGGGCGUAAAGGGCGCGUAGGCGGCUUGGGAAGUCCGUGGUGAAAGCUCGUGGCUCAACUACGAGUCGGCCAUGGAUACUCCUAAGCUCGAGUCGACUAGAGGCAGAUGGAAUUCCGGGUGUAGCGGUGGAAUGCGUAGAGAUCCGGAAGAACACCGGUGGCGAAGGCGGUCUGCUGGGGUCGAACUGACGCUGAGGCGCGACAGCGUGGGGAGCAAACAGGAUUAGAUACCCUGGUAGUCCACGCCGUAAACGAUGGGCACUAGGUGCUUGGGGGAGCGACCCCUUGAGUGCCGGCGCUAACGCAUUAAGUGCCCCGCCUGGGGAGUACGGCCGCAAGGCUG
rnacentral:rRNA from 1 species